rnacentral:rRNA from 1 species
UACGUAGGGUGCAAGCGUUAUCCGGAAUUAUUGGGCGUAAAGAGCUCGUAGGCGGUUUGUCGCGUCUGCUGUGAAAACUGGGGGCUCAACCCCCCAGCCUGCAGUGGGUACGGGCAGACUAGAGUGCGGUAGGGGAGAUUGGAAUUCCUGGUGUAGCGGUGGAAUGCGCAGAUAUCAGGAGGAACACCGAUGGCGAAGGCAGAUCUCUGGGCCGUAACUGACGC